rnacentral:rRNA from 1 species
AAACGAAGUGGGAAGGCCCAGACAGCCAGGAUGUUGGCUUAGAAGCAGCCAUCAUUUAAAGAAAGCGUAAUAGCUCACUGGUCGAGUCGUCCUGCGCGGAAGAUGUAACGGGGCUCAAAUCUAUAACCGAAGCUGCGGAUGCCGGUUUACCGGCAUGGUAGGGGAGCGUUCUGUAGGCCGAUGAAGGUGCAUUGUAAAGUGUGCUGGAGGUAUCAGAAGUGCGAAUGUUGACAUGAGUAGCGAUAAAGCGGGUGAAAAGCCCGCUCGCCGAAAGCCCAAGGUUUCCUACGCAACGUUCAUCGGCGUAGGGUGAGUCGGCCCCUAAGGCGAGGCAGAAAUGCGUAGUCGAUGGGAAACAGGUUAAUAUUCCUGUACUUGAUUCAAAUGCGAUGUGGGGACGGAGAAGGUUAGGUUGGCAAGCUGUUGGAAUAGCUUGUUUAAGCCGGUAGGUGGAAGACUUAGGCAAAUCCGGGUCUUCUUAACACCGAGAAGUGACGACGAGUGUCUACGGACACGAAGCAACCGAUACCACGCUUCCAGGAAAAGCCACUAAGCUUCAGUUUGAAUCGAACCGUACCGCAAACCGACACAGGUGGGCAGGAUGAGAAUUCUAAGGCGCUUGAGAGAACUCAGGAGAAGGAACUCGGCAAAUUGAUACCGUAACUUCGGGAGAAGGUAUGCCCUCUAAGGUUAAGGACUUGCUCCGUAAGCCCCGGAGGGUCGCAGAGAAUAGGUGGCUGCGACUGUUUAUUAAAAACACAGCACUCUGCUAACACGAAAGUGGACGUAUAGGGUGUGACGCCUGCCCGGUGCUGGAAGGUUAAUUGAAGAUGUGAGAGCAUCGGAUCGAAGCCCCAGUAAACGGCGGCCGUAACUAUAACGGUCCUAAGGUAGCGAAAUUCCUUGUCGGGUAAGUUCCGACCCGCACGAAUGGCGUAACGAUGGCCACACUGUCUCCUCCUGAGACUCAGCGAAGUUGAAGUGGUUGUGAAGAUGCAAUCUACCCGCUGCUAGACGGAAAGACCCCGUGAACCUUUACUGUAGCUUUGCAUUGGACUUUGAAGUCACUUGUGUAGGAUAGGUGGGAGGCUUAGAAGCAGAGACGCCAGUCUCUGUGGAGCCGUCCUUGAAAUACCACCCUGGUGUCUUUGAGGUUCUAACCCAGACCCGUCAUCCGGGUCGGGGACCGUGCAUGGUAGGCAGUUUGACUGGGGCGGUCUCCUCCCAAAGCGUAACGGAGGAGUUCGAAGGUUUACCUAAGUCCGGUCGGAAAUCGGACUGAUAGUGCAAUGGCAAAAGGUAGCUUUAACUGCGAGACCGACAAGUCGAGCAGGUGCGAAAGCAGGACAUAGUGAUCCGGUGGUUCUGUAUGGAAGGGCCAUCGCUCAACGGAUAAAAGGUACUCCGGGGAUAACAGGCUGAUUCCGCCCAAGAGUUCAUAUCGACGGCGGAGUUUGGCACCUCGAUGUCGGCUCAUCACAUCCUGGGGCUGUAGUCGGUCCCAAGGGUAUGGCUGUUCGCCAUUUAAAGUGGUACGUGAGCUGGGUUUAAAACGUCGUGAGACAGUUUGGUCCCUAUCUGCAGUGGGCGUUGGAAGUUUGACGGGGGCUGCUCCUAGUACGAGAGGACCGGAGUGGACGAACCUCUGGUGUACCGGUUGUAACGCCAGUUGCAUAGCCGGGUAGCUAAGUUCGGAAGAGAUAAGCGCUGAAAGCAUCUAAGCGCGAAACUCGCCUGAAGAUGAGACUUCCCUUGCGGUUUAACCGCACUAAAGAGUCGUUCGAGACCAGGACGUUGAUAGGUGGGGUGUGGAAGCGCGGUAACGCGUGAAGCUAACCCAUACUAAUUGCUCGUGAGGCUUGACUCUAU